rnacentral:rRNA from 1 species
GCGGAGGGAUCAUUACUGAGUGAGGGCCUUCGGGCUCGACCUCCAACCCUUUGUGAACACAACUUGUUGCUUCGGGGGCGACCCUGCCGUUUCGACGGCGCGCGCCCCCGGAGACCAUCAAACACUGCAUCUUUGCGUCAGAGUUUAAGUAAAUUAAACAAAACUUUCAACAACGGAUCUCUUGGUUCUGGCAUCGAUGAAGAACGCAGCGAAAUGCGAUAAGUAAUGUGAAUUGCAGAAUUCAGUGAAUCAUCGAAUCUUUGAACGCAUAUUGCGCCCUUUGGUAUUCCGAAGGGCAUGCCUGUUCGAGCGUCAUUUCACCACUCAAGCCUGGCUUGGUAUUGGGCGCCGCGGUCAAUCCGCGCGCCUCAAAGUCUCCGGCUGAGCUGUCCGUCUCUAAGCGUUGUGAUUUCAUUAAUCGCUUCGGAGUGCGGGCGGCCGCGGCCGUUAAAUCUUUCACAAGGUUGACCUCGGAUCAGGUAGGGAUACCCGCUG